CUGCUCAUUCUGCCGUGGUAAAGAGAAAACAGGACGACUUUCUAAUAAAACUAUGAAUGGGAAAAAAGUGUAGCUGAUUUUAAGAUAUUAAUUUUACUUGCAUCCAUUCAGCUUCUACCAAAGAAGACUGAGGUUUUUUGUGUUAGCCAGGAAAGACAGACAGCACUGUGAAGUGCCUCCACCCGCUGGGCCGAGAGGGUGAAGAGAGAAAGAAGUCACUGCCUGCAGGAAAACCGUACUUCUUUAUGAUCUAUGACAUAGCAAAGAUGAUCUGACAAGUCAGUCCAACUCAAAAGUGCUCUUCUCUUUAAAACUUUUUGCCUCAAAUCAUCUCUGCUUUUGUAAAGAAAUCUUCAUGUCACACAGAGAGUCAAUCUUAAUGUACCUUUAAAUAAUAACUCCUUCAUGUGUUGAAGUGCUCAAAGUAAAAGCUGUGUGUGCUAGCCAAUUGAAGCAGCAGGCUGAGUCAUGCUGGGUUUUUUUUUCUGGGUUUCCCCCCUCUCUGAUCCUCUGCUCCUCCCCCUCUGGUCUAGGAGCAGGCUCAUACACCCGGUCAGGCUGUUGGUGGCGUGUUGGAACAUGCCUUGACUUGUUGUGCAGCCUGAGUGAAGCAGAGAGAGGGAGAGAGGCUCCUGGUCAACAGUUUGCCAGUGUGAAGUGACCCACACAAUGAGCUGCUGCACCCGUGGACACACUCCUGUUGAUGUCAACACCAGAGUGCACUCCCUGAGGACGAGCGAGGAUGAAGGAGCGCCACUGCUGCCGUAGCUGCUUGGUGAGCUUCCGGCUGCUGGCAUAAGACCACACCAUCUCGGGGGGCUCUUAGUGCGAGGCUGUUGCCUUCCAACCACCAUCACCAGGAAGCCAGGCAUGAAAAGUGUGCCAGACGCACAGGUGGAAGUGUACGGCAAAUACCACUCAAGAUCCUGCUGGGGGAGAGGCAGACGGAGGGACACACACUUGGACGUGGCUGCUGUGGGUGUUUCUCUGGCAGUGUCUUAGCUGGUUGUUGUGAGGAGUGAGAACGAAGCAAUCAGCAAGUAUACUGCCGCAGAAAUUCUUCGCAAUAAGAGGCCCUGGGAUCACAGCCGUCACGAGAGGAAGGAAAAAGCCCGUAUCAGCACUGUAGCAACCACGGAUCCUGCUGCUACUGUAAGUUUUUACACGUGUGCUGACACUGUAGAAAUUAACCAGAGCUGAGGACCUGAUACAGAAUUAUCUGAAGAUAGAUCACCUGAGCGCAUGGCCUUUUUGUUAACAGCCUCUACAAUAUUUACAAUUGGAUCAGACCAUCAAACUUCUUCACUGUGCUGUACUUUUAUUGUCCUCUGCUGCCAUCUUGUGACUGAACGCAACCUCCCAGCAUGCUUUUGUUCUAUAACACUGCAGCAAUUUCCAAACCCUACAGGGUUUUUUUUUUCAGUGACACAGUCUAAAAUCCUUUUCAUUCAGAAAAUAUGGCUCAGCUUUCUAUGACUUCAGAUUCCUUAUUUUUUUUGUUGCAAAUGCAUGUUGAUUUGUCACCAAAUUCAAUUUUGCUUCAUGAGUUCUGAGCACAUUUUCUAUGGUUGAUCCUUAAUUUUUCAGUUGCAGCAUAUUAAUUUCUUAAAGUAUGUCUGUAAAAAAAGGGUAAAUAAAAGUUACAUAAAGACUGA